AGCGAACGCUGGCGGCAGGCCUAACACAUGCAAGUCGAACGAACCUUUCGGGGUUAGUGGCGGACGGGUGAGUAACACGUGGGAACGUGCCUUUAGGGUCGGAAUAACUCAGGGAAACUUGUGCUAAUACCGAAUGGGCCCUUCUGGGGAAAGAUUUAUUGCCUUUAGAGGGGCCCGCGUCUGAUUAGCUAGUUGGUUGAGGUAAUGGCGCACCAAGGCGACGAUCAGUAGCUGGUCUGGGAGGAUGUUCAGCAACAUUGGGAGUGAGACAGGACCCAAACUCCUACGGGAGGCAGCGGUGGGGAAUCUUGCGAAAUGGGCGAAAGCCUGACGCAGCCAUGCCGCGUGAAUGAUGAAGGUCUUAGGAUUGUAAAAUUCUUUCAACGGGGACGAUAAUGACGGUACCCGAAGCAGAAGCCCCGGCUAACUUCGUG
rnacentral:rRNA from 1 species